AAAGAAGGCAAAAAACCCAGUCUGAAGUGCUUCCAAGUUUGCAACAAACUAGGAAAAAUUCCUUCUUGACCCCAAAAUAGCAGUUAGAUGUCUCCUUGGAUCAAGCAGCUAUUACCCCACUAAUUAGAAAUUAUAUCCCUGUAUGUUAUGUUUUUGCAAGUAUUUAUCCAAUUGCAGUUUAAACAUCUGUAUAGACUCUGACAAAACCACCUCUUCAGGCAGAGAAUUCCAUAUCCUUAUUGC